AUUGAACGCUGGCGGCAGGCCUAACACAUGCAAGUCGAGCGGAUGACGGGAGCUUGCUCCUGGAUUCAGCGGCGGACGGGUGAGUAAUGCCUAGGAAUCUGCCUGGUAGUGGGGGACAACGUUUCGAAAGGAACGCUAAUACCGCAUACGUCCUACGGGAGAAAGCAGGGGACCUUCGGGCCUUGCGCUAUCAGCUGAGCCUAGGUCGGAUUAGCUAGUUGGUGAGGUAAUGGCUCACCAAGGCGACGAUCCGUAACUGGUCUGAGAGGAUGAUCAGUCACACUGGAACUGAGACACGGUCCAGACUCCUACGGGAGGCAGCAGUGGGGAAUAUUGGACAAUGGGCGAAAGCCUGAUCCAGCCAUGCCGCGUGUGUGAAGAAGGUCUUCGGAUUGUAAAGCACUUUAAGUUGGGAGGAAGGGCAGUAAGCGAAUACCUUGCUGUUUUGACGUUACCGACAGAAUAAGCACCGGCUAACUCUGUGCCAGCCGCCGCCGUAAGAC
rnacentral:rRNA from 1 species